AAACACAUGUCCACAGCCGCCACCGCUCCUUCCUCCUCACUCUCUCCUUCGCUUUGGAAGAAUACAAGUGUCUUUGAGAAUGAGUUCUUGUUUAAAAAUUAUGUUUGUAAGAAGCUCCAGUAUGGAGUUCUACAGAAGAGAAGAUGGACAUAUUCAUGGUUCCUUUGGUGCUUCCAAACCAAGGUAGCCGCAUGCAUACAGCCAUAGUGUGGAUAGAAUUGGAAGGUGUUGGACUGACUGCUGUUGAUGCUGGAUUUUACUUGCCACAAAAACCAUUGCAGAAGUCUUCAAACGAGGUUGCAGUUUUGACCAUAUGUUGUCAGUCUUGACUUUGUUGAGCAGAGGCAUAUUAUGGUUAAGAAGUUGUGUAUAUCACCGUGGGAUGAAGAAUGAAAAAAUGAGGAAUUUAGCUUUCUAAAGGUUAAUUUCCUUGUGAUUUCAAUCAAAUAUCACAAAUUUCUUUGGGCUCGAGAUUUCCUUCAACUGAAUGCUACAAGACAUGAGCUGCAGACCGUUUCUUGACAAGAUAGGUCUGGCCAAAUAAGUAUGGUUGAUGUACAGUAACUUUUCCCAGCGAAUAGCUAUGGGACUGGUUUCAUUUUGAGGUUUUCAGGACUUCAGCUGUGAUGGAUAUGAGGGAACUGGAACUUGGAAAUGAAACUUUGAUGAUGCAAUGAAACUGCCAAGCUAUUGCUAGCAUCCAGAAUGAUAGAUGGCCAUUGAGAGCAUCUUCUUACCAAAGGGACCCAGUUUCACUGAUUUAGGUUAGAUAUGGCAAAACCUCUCCUGUUUACACCUAGGGAAGUUUUCAGAUGGUGAUCCUGCUUUCAUGUUGUGUAAAAGUUAUCAGGCUUCAAGUCAAUUGAGCAGAGGCAUUUUAUGGUCUCUGGGAAGUUGUAAAUUAUUGCCACCAUGUCAGGAUUGGAAAAUACAGGGUUCCAGGAUUCCAGUGGUACUGGCACAUUACUUCCUUGAAGCAAUUUGCUGCAGUGAAAUUGCAGACUUUGGACCAUCCUGGAAAGUGGAAGGAACCAGAACAUGAUCCCAAGUUGCCGAGCAGAGAUAAAUUGGUGUGGAAGAGGAAACAAACUUGUUAAUGCUGAGGCACAGUUUUUCAGUCUUUCAUCCUGCAUUUUUAUUGUUAUAAGUAAGGAAGCAAUGAGUUGGAAUUGAUACUUUACUUCAGAACUUCAAAGGCAAGU